ACGAGUUACUUUUUCCGGCGAGGUUAAGGAUUUCAGAUCUGCAGCCGAAGCGAAAGCGAGUCUGAACAGGGCGUCGAGUCGGAAGGAGUAGACGCGAAACCAAGUGAUCUACCCUUGGGCAGGUUGAAGGAUGGGUAACACCAUCUGGAGGACCGAACCAAUAAGCGUUGAAAAGCUUCUGGAUGACCUGAGGGUAGGGGUGAAAGGCUAAUCAAACUCGGAGAUAGCUCGUACUCCCCGAAAUGCAUUUAGGUGCAGCCUCUUUAUAGUAUAUCGUGAGGUAGAGCGACUGAUUGGAUGCGAGGGCUUCACCGCCUAUCAAGUCCAGAUAAACUCCGAAUGCGCGAUAUAUAUUUAAAGGGAGUGAGGGCGCGGGUGCUAAGGUCCGUGUCCGAGAGGAGAAGAAUCCAGACCACCGGCUAAGGCCCCCAAAUGAUCGUUGAGUUGAACUAACGAGGUCGGAUCGCAGAGACAGCUAGGAUGUUGGCUUGGAAGCAGCCAUUCAUUUAAAGAGUGCGUAACAGCUCACUAGUCGAGGAGUUUGGCGUGGAUAAUAAUCGGGCAUAAGUAUUCUACCGAAGCUUUGGGAUGAGAAAUCAUCGGUAGGGGAGCAUUCCACUCGGCGUCGAAGGUGAGGCGCGAGCUUUGCUGGAGCGUGUGGAAAAGCAAAUGUAGGUAUAAGUAACGAUAAAGGGGGUGGGAAACCCCCUCGCCGAAAGACUAAGGUUUCCUGAUCAACGCUAAUCGGAUCAGGGUAAGUCGGGUCCUAAGGCUCAGCCGAACGGCGAGGCCGAUGGCAGAACCGGUUAAUAUUCCGGUACUACCUGUGGGAGUGACGUGGAGACGGAGUCGUGACAGCGCCGCGGACUGACGGAAUAGUCCGUUGAAGGGUGUAGAUGCUGAUUGUCCCAGGCAAAUCCGGGAUAAGAGUCGAACCUGAUAGUAUGGAGCGUUCUUAGAACAAUCCAAUAGUGCGUGUAAUCAUACUUCCAAGAAAAUCCGCUAAACUUAAUCCUGCAGGUACCCGUACCGCAAACGGACACACGUAGUCGGGUUGAAUAUACUAAGGCGCUCGAGUGAUUCACGGUUAAGGAACUAGGCAAAUUGACCCUGUAACUUCGGGAUAAAGGGUCCUCGUCGUAAGGCGAGGCGCAGAGAAUAGGUCCAGGCAACUGUUUAACAAAAACACAGGGCUGUGCCAAAUUGAAAGAUGACGUAUACAGCCUGACACCUGCCCGGUGCUGGAAGGUUAAGAGGAGAUGUCAUCGCAAGAGAAGCAUUGAAUUGAAGCCCCAGUAAACGG
rnacentral:rRNA from 1 species